GGGGAUUUAGCUCAGUGGUAGAGCACCUGAUUUGCAUUCAGGGGGUCAGGAGUUCGACUCUCCUAAUCUCCA
rnacentral:tRNA from 1 species